rnacentral:rRNA from 1 species
GUAAUCAGUUGGCUUUUAAAUGGAGUCGGGAAUGAAAGGGUUUUCGGGGACUAACUGUCUCUAUUAAAUUAAUUUUAACUUACUUAGGGGGUGAAAAUUCCCCCUUAAAGAAAAAAGACGAGAAGACCCUAAGAGUUUUUACUAAGCCUUAUGUGUAUGAGGGAAGUUUUUGCUGGGGCGGCAAGGAGACAGACAGUAUAACUCUCCUUUUUAGUUUUUAGAAGACGCAUAUAUGAAGAAACAAGAAGCUACCUUAGGGAUAACAGCAUAAUUUAUUUUAAGUUUGUGACCUCGAUGUUGGACUAGGGACUUUACGGCUAGCAGUCGCAAGAGCAGGUUCUGUUCGAACCUCACUCCCCU